rnacentral:tRNA from 1 species
UAUAUAUAAAAAUAAUUAUUUUGUUUUUACAAUGAAAAUGUAAUGUUUUUGUUAAACUAUAUAUAU